GGCUCUGUGGUGAAGUUCAUAGUGAGUUGCAAGCUCAUUGAUGUGCCUUAAUCGGGUACCGGAGUCU
rnacentral:tRNA from 1 species